CCAAGACGUACCUGGAGCGCCGCCGUGCACGCCGACGACCUCCGCUUCACCCCGCCGUCGUCUCCAUCCUCCCGAACCUCUCCCUGAACGUGCUGGUCGUGUGUGCUGCCAGAGCCUCAACAACGUCAUCUUGGUCGGGCUUCGUCUGGUUUCCUUCGAAGGGCCGAGCCCCUCUCUUCAUUCAUCAAUUGAUCUAACGGUUUGCCUGUUACAUCUACACACCGAAGACGCCGGUACCGAGGAGUACGGCGAGGAGUACGACUACUACCCUGAGGAGGAUCGUGCCGGUUUCUCUUCUUCUGACUUGACAGGCGAGCACUUUUCCCUGCUACCUAUUUUCUGCUUUUGCCUCUUUACCUUACUGCUAUCCUCGUGUGCCGUUCUUGUCACGUAACCUAUCGCCUGUCACCUAUUGCAAGCCAUAGACCCAUACAUAUAUCCUACAGCUGUUGUUUGGUUACAGGGUCAGCCAUGCGAGUCGUAGGCUUGCUUAGUACCGUUGUUAUAUAUUGCUACUAUUAUCACUGUCGUCAUCGUUAUCUAGUUGGGUUAUAUUUGUUGGGGGGUUCCGAGAUACAUGCUUAUGAUUGUAUCUGUUCGAUAAGUUCACACUUCUUAUUCAUGCUAAUAAUAAAAUUGUUAAGUAGAGGCAUCGGUGGGUCAGCUGAUUUUCUUUUUGAACACGGCUCACUUGUGUCCACUAAUAUCUAGGAUCUUGAGUUCUUGUUAUCUGAUCCAAGACUGAGCGCACUAACCAUACGUGGGGUUCAGUGGGCCCUCCUCGACCAAUUCCGGAACUACUUCCAUUGUCCAAGUGCCGCAAUUAGUUUCUGGUGUGUUUACUCUUUUAUCGCGUGCAUGCCAGCCUGUUACUUCUUUAUUUUGGGGAAGCCCAGUGAGCCUUGUAUCCCUUGUUUCUGGUAUGCACGUAUAGGUUUGCGGCCUGAGCGUUUAUCGCAUGCUGAAGAGGGUCAUUCGCCCCUGUGUGUGUUUUGACCCUCGGAAGCCGUGCACGCAAUAGCUAGGUCCGCUUCGGAGACUCGGCCGAACUCCGUAACGGGUUUAACUUAGUUAGGUGGCUCUUGGACUUGGUCUGUGGUGAAGGGAGGUAGUGUCGUGAUACUCUGCUUUGAUCCAGUAGGGUUGAUCGAGCGUAUGAGACCAGUAGUGCACCCCUGCAGGGUUACAAUCUUUUCGAAAAGCCGUGUCCGCGGUUAUGGACGACUUGGAGAAGUGUCGCUUGAUCAUAGACAACUUUCACCCUUUAUCUGCUAAUUAACUUGUGUAGUAAUUAGCAGAACUAUAAUAAAAACUGGUUAAAACUGUAAACCGUGUGAGUGCCUUUGCAUCUUCUUCCUGUAGCAUGUAGAAGGGGGAAUGCAUCGGAUGAGUUAUGUUUGCAGAGUUUUAGAACUGU